CUGCUAUCGGGGUGGGACUAAGACAUGCGAGUCGUGCGUCUCUAAGCCAUGGUAGAGACGCGGCAUACGGCUCAGUAACACGUGGCUAACUACCCUUAGGACGGGGACAACCCCGGGAAACUGGGGCUAAUACCCGAUAGAUGAGGAGGCCUGGAAUGGUUCCUAGUCGAGAAGGCGUCGAAACCAUGCUUUUCGACGUCGCCUAAGGAUGGGGCCGCGCCCGAUCAGGUUGUUGGUGGGGCAACGGCUCACCAAGCCUAUAACCGGUACGGGCCGUGAGAGCGGGAGCCCGGAGAUGGGCACUGAGACAAGGGCCCAGGCCCUACGGGGCGCAGCAGUCGCGAAAACUCCGCAAUGCGCGAAAGCGUGACGGGGCUACCCCGAGUGCCGUCCGCUGAGGAUGGCUUUUCCCCAGUGUAAUGAGCCGGGGGAAUAAGGAGAGGGCAAGUCUGGUGUCAGCCGCCGCGGUAAUACCAGCUCUCCGAGUGGUAGGGAUGAUUAUUGGGCUUAAAGCGUCCGUAGCCGGCUUAGCAAGUCUCCUGUUAAAUUCAGCGACCUAAUCGUUGAGCCGCGGGAGAUACUACUAGGCUAGGAGGCGGGAGAGGUCGACGGUAUUCUCGGGGUAGGGGUGAAAUCCUAUAAUCCCGGGAGGACCACCAGUGGCGAAGGCUGUCGGCUAGAACGCGCUCGACGGUGAGGGACGAAAGCUGGGGGAGCAAACCGGAUUAGAUACCCGGGUAGUCCCAGCUGUAAACGAUGCGGGCUAGGUGUUGGGGUGGCUACGAGCCACUUCAGUGCCGCAGGGAAGCCGUUAAGCCCGCCGCCUGGGAGUACGGCCGCAAGGCUGAAACUUAAAGGAAUUGGCGGGGGAGCACCACAAGGCGUGAAGCUUGCGGUUCAAUU
rnacentral:rRNA from 1 species